rnacentral:lncRNA from 1 species
AACGCUGCCCAACAGAUGACGUUAUCACAGCGCUGCAGAAGUGAUGUAAGUCCCUGGGGAAUAAAUUUCGGCGCCUGGGAAGACGUUUCAGAAAGAAAAGAGCCGCGCCGUGCCAGUCGACGUUCACGACGACGUCAUCUGGCUGUUUUUCGACCAGAUGAUGUUUCUGCGCUACACAAUGGAGUGUAGACCGAUGUCCGCCAACCUUCCACCAGUGCCCCCAUCGAGUGAGGAGGGAAGUGCUGCAGACAUCUUAACGAGAAUUGUGCCAGUUUUC